rnacentral:rRNA from 1 species
CCACAGGCCAUGUCCUGAAGCGGAGAGUUCCCCUCGGGGACAUUGGAUACAGGUGGGGCAUGGUGGUGUUCAGCUCGUGUCGGUGGAUGUUGGGUUAAGUCCCGCAACGAGCGCAACCCUUGUCUUUAGUUGCCAUCAUUAAGUUGGGCACUCUAGGGAGACUGCCAGGGAUAACCUGGAGGAAGGUGGGGAUGACGUCAAAUCAUCAUGCCCCGUAUGCUUAGGGCUACACACGUGCUACAAUGGGUAGUACAGAGGGUUGCCAAGCCGUAAGGCGGAGCUAAUCCCUUAAAGCUACUCUCAGUUCGGAUUGUAGGCUGAAACUCGCCUACAUGAAGCUGGAGUUACUAGUAAUCGCAGAUCAGAAUGCUGCGGUGAAUGCGUUCCCGGGUCUUGUACACAC